rnacentral:misc_RNA from 1 species
AAACUCACCAUGAGUGAGUAGUUUGUUUAAUUCUAGGAUUAGGAGAGUAGCACUUUCAACUUCUGUUAUGGAUAUGUACUAAAGUUAUUUAAUGGAUUUAAGUUUUGUUCUUUGAUUCAAUAUUCUGUGUUCUUAAUGUAUGUUAUAUGUUAGUACCCACUUAGUUAUGAUAUAAGAUAUUAAUUGAAUAACUGAAAAGUAAAAAUUAAUAUUAGAAAUUAAGAUUUUGAGCAUAAAAAAUCUGAUCUAGAGAUAAGCUAAAAUCCUUUGUAGAGUCCUAUAAUUAAUAAAAAAACUUAAAGGGUUUUAAUUAAGAUUGAUCGCCA